UUGCCAGACUCCUACGGGAGGCAGCAGUGGGGAAUAUUGGGCAAUGGGCGGAAGCCUGACCCAGCAACGCCGCGUGAAGGAAGAAGGCUUUCGGGUUGUAAACUUCUUUUCUCGGGGACGAACAGAUGACGGUACCUGAGGAAUAAGCCACGGCUAACUACGUGCCAGCAGCCGCGGUAAUACGUAGGUGGCAAGCGUUGUCCGGAUUUACUGGGUGUAAAGGGCGUGUAGCCGGGCCGGCAAGUCAGAUGUGGAAUCCCAAGGCGCAACCGUGGAACUGCAUUUGAAACUGUUGGUCUUGAGUAUCGGAGAGGGAGGCGGAAUUCCUAGUGUAGCGGUGAAAUGCGUAGAUAUUAGGAGGAACACCAGUGGCGAAGGCGGCCUGCUGGACGACAACUGACGGUGAGGCGCGAAAGCGUGGGGAGCAAACAGGAUUAGAGACCCCCGUGCAA
rnacentral:rRNA from 1 species